rnacentral:rRNA from 1 species
GAUGAACGCUAGCUACAGGCUUAACACAUGCAAGUCGAGGGGUAACGAGAGGAAAGCUUGCUUUCCUUGUCGACGACCGGCGCACGGGUGAGUAACGCGUAUCCAACCUGCCCCCAACUAGGGAAUAACCUUGCGAAAGUAAGACUAAUACCCUAUAAUUUCCUCAGAUGUCAUCUGACGAGGAAUAAAGAUUUAUCGGUUGUGGAUGGGGAUGCGUCUGAGUAGCUGGUUGGCGGGGUAACGGCACACCAAGGCAACGAGCAGUAGGCGAUCUGAGAGAAAGGUCACCCACAUUGGACAUGAGACACGGUCCAAACUCCUACGGGAUGCAGCAGUGAGGAAUAUUGGUCAAUGGGCGGAAGCCUGAGCCAGCCAAGUAGCGUGCAGGAUGACGGCCCUAUGGGUUGUAAACUGCUUUUAUACAGGAAUAAAGUUAGCCACGUGUGGUUAUUUGUAGGUACUGUAUGAAUAAGGACCGGCUAAUUCCGUGCCAGCCGCCGCUGUAA